GGAAGAGAGGGCAAGGAAAAACCAGUGAGGUCAGUGCUUUGGUAGUCCCUCUGAGAAAGAAUAGUUCAAGAGGAAGCAAUCAAAUACGUGGAGGCAGGGGGACUUUCCAAGGAUUGAGCAUGGGGAAGGAACCAUCUCCCCAAAGCAGUGGCCAGAUCAUGACUCCACCCUAUUUAAAAAUCAUCAGCAGUUCCCUGUCGACUUGGCUGCAAACUACUUAAUCUGACAGUUGCCCAGUGAUGGGUCUCCAUCUCACUUCUGCAGCCUUACCUUACGUAUAUACAGCUGGUCCUCAAGCAAAAUUGAACUGACUGCUAUAAUUCCUACCAACUUUUUACAGAUGAGCCAACUCAUUUGCCUAAAUUGUCUCUGCCUGGAACAGUGCCUCCCAUGCCCUCUUCUAGACCCCAAAUCUGUUGACGUCCUUGAAGGCCUGUCUCAUAAUGUAGCUCCUACCUGGAACCUUUUGUGAUGUUUACUCUCCUCUGAAAUCCUGGUCUGUUUUUACUUCCCUUGUGGCAUUAUAUGCUGCCUCAUCGUGAGUUUUGUGUAAUCAUUUCAUGCCCAUUACUAAAUAUUCCUCCUUGCAAAUCACUUUAUGUUAGCGCCUCUUGCAGGGUCGGUCUCACUUUUUAUACAUAAGAGGUGCUCCUCAACUAGCUGCUGAAUUGAGUUAUAAACUUUCAUGGACUCUGAAGAGCAUCCUUGCCUCUCUCUCUAAGAGUAUGAUCGCUAACCCUCAAAGAGAAAGUCUUUAUACUCUGGGAGAAACAAAAAGAAAAAGAAACCGAAGAAGCUGAAAGGCAAUUAUUUCACAGCACUCCUGUUACAAUCGAGAAUUUCUUAAGUUGGAAGACCAAGUUUGAUGCCGAACUCUUGGAAAUUAAAAAGAAACGAAGGAAAGAAAGAAAAGCAGGGACAAAUAAAGUGGGAAACAGCCAUUUGAAACAGAUUAUAAUCUUGACACAUCUGCUAUCCAGUUCUUAGAGGAUGCUGGAAACAGUGUGGAGGUAGGCGAGACUGUGUUCCUGGAAGUGGAUGACUUGGAGCUGGAGGAUAAUGGGGAUGACCCAGACUACAAUCCUGCUGACCCGGAGAGUGGCUUGACUGACUAGUGGACUCUCCCCAUCUGCAGAGAGCCCUGACUGCCACAGCAUCCGCGGCUAUGCUGAAAGGGUGCGGAUUUUCCUUUCUUUUUUUUCCUAAGAAAAAAUAGUUUUCAGGGAAAUAUUCUUCUCAUAGCUUUUAUCAUUGAACUUAAUAAGCUGACUUUAAAAUUAAAAACAAAAACAAAACCAUGAGAUUUCCUAAGAUGAGAUUUAAACUUUUGAAGAGAAACGGACUGUCUUUCU
ensembl:lncRNA